UAGGGAAUCUUCCGCAAUGGACGAAAGUCUGACGGAGCAACGCCGCGUGAGUGAUGAAGGCUUUCGGGUCGUAAAACUCUGUUGUUAGGGAAGAACAAGUACGAGAGUAACUGCUCGUACCUUGACGGUACCUAACCAGAAAGCCACGGCUAACUACGUGCCAGCAGCCGCGGUAAUACGUAGGUGGCAAGCGUUAUCCGGAAGUAUUGGGCGUAAAGCGCGCGCAGGCGGUUUCUUAAGUCUGAUGUGAAAGCCCACGGCUCAACCGUGGAGGGUAAUUGGAAACUGGGGAACUUGAGUGCAGAAGAGAAAAGCGGAAUUCCACGUGUAGCGGUGAAAUGCGUAGAGAUGUGGAGGAACACCAGUGGCGAAGGCGGCUUUUUGGUCUGUAACUGACGCUGAGGCGCGAAAGCGUGGGGAGCAAACAGG
rnacentral:rRNA from 1 species